rnacentral:rRNA from 1 species
UGCGCCUUGCCAGCCCGCUCAGAAACUUAAAGGAAUUGACGGGGGCCCGCACAAGCGGUGGAGUAUGUGGUUUAAUUCGAUGCAACGCGAAGAACCUUACCUGGUCUUGACAUCCCGGAGACCCUUAGGAAACUAGGGGGUGCUUCCAUCUGGAAGAAUCUGGAGACAGGUGCUGCAUGGCUGUCGUCAGCUCGUGUCGUGAGGUGUUGGGUUAAGUCCCGCAACGAGCGCAACCCUUGCCUUUAGUUGCCAGCAGUUCGGCUGGGCACUCUAAAGGGACUGCCGGUGUUAAACCGGAGGAAGGUGGGGAUGACGUCAAGUCCUCAUGGCCUUUAUGACCAGGGCUACACACGUACUACAAUGGCCGAUACAAAGGGCAGCGACACUGCGAGGUGAAGCCAAUCCCGUAAAAUCGGUCUCAGUCCGGAUUGGAGUCUGCAACUCGACUCCAUGAAGUUGGAAUCGCUAGUAAUCGUGGAUCAGCAUGCCACGGUGAAUACGUUCCCGGGCCUU